AGCACGUAAAUGCAACAUGAUUGGUCCAGCUCAUAGUUCAGAAAAUUAUUAAUAGAAUAAUAGUGAUAAAUGGUGGAUGUUUUCACACGUUGGCCUUGGCAUCUUUUUCUAGCCUUUUUUUUUUUUAACUUGUUGGUCACAACUUUCUAUUUGAAAGAGUUAGUCCAGCAAUGAUUGACCCCUUAAAGAGAGAAUGCGUGAACCCGUAAAUAAGGAGGGCCGCUUCUGUCUUGUCGAUUGAAACCAACAAUCUCUCUUUUUUCUUUUUCUUUUUUUAACCGAACAUGGACCACAAUUUCCAACAGUAACUGCUCAAAUAAGAAGAAAAUUAGGAGAUUUUUCUUGUUUUUAGGGGGGAAAAAAAGGGGCAAUCGAGUCUUUGCAAAUUUAUAUUAUCAGAAGGCACAACAUUGAUGAGGUAUUUUAUCUCUCACACAUGUAUUGUUCUUCCAAAGUCAAUCCACGAUGCGUGAAAAACAGUACAUGAAAAAUACCUUUUUUCCUGUAAUAUAUACUCAUAAUCCUCAUUUUAGUUCUUAAUUACCGUCUUGUUAUUGUUAUUGGCAACAAUAUUAACAUAUUAGAGGAAACUAAUUGAAGACAAAACUGAUUUUUUUAUUAUGAUUGAACAAAUUGUUGAGAUGCAAUACAAAGAUUAAGAGUUGGGAUUAAAUGGUCAUGGUUAGAGUCAUCUUGCGGUAUAAAUUCUUAUGACAUGAAAUUGAAGUUAAAAUUAUUAAACACUUUAUUAUAAAUAAACCUGUAAUGGUUUAUAAAAAAUACCCAAUUAAUAACAAUACCAAUUUGUUUGAGUUAAAUGAGUGCCUAUUCAACAACCUACUAUAAAUAUCUCAAAGUUUUCAUUGAUGAUAAUAAUGUUGAUAAAAAAAAAUGGGGGUAUAAUGGCAUAUAAAGAGGGUG
rnacentral:lncRNA from 1 species